UUUUUAAUUUAUUAAGUCAUUCUUUGGAGAACACUCAACCAUCCAUUCAUAAGCAUGGAUCCUUAAACAAAGACAACUUCCAUGAGAAGGGCCCCAACAUGGAUAAUUCAACAAGUUUUCCACUAGAUCUCAUGAAAGGAAAAAAGGUCAAGUUUCCAUACAAUACCAUGAAAGAUGGGAGACUUACAAUCUCACUUACUAGAAUGCUAUGCUUUUAGGGUCAAAUUUAGCUAUAU
rnacentral:lncRNA from 1 species